rnacentral:lncRNA from 1 species
ACCCUCCACCGGUGAUCUUCGAGCUCGAUUCCUCUCCUUUUCUCCGUAGAAGCCGCGGCAACCUCUUCCCAUGCUCAUCGAAAAUUAGAGCCGGUGACGCUGCUGAAGCAUGAGGUAAACCCAUCUUCUCUUUCCCCUCUUCCUUUCCCUCCCUUCCACGAUGCGAUGCACCCUUGCCGGCCGUCGAACUCAUCGAAAAAUCCAUGA